rnacentral:rRNA from 1 species
CCUACGGGAGGCAGCAGUGGGGAAUAUUGCACAAUGGGGGAAACCCUGAUGCAGCCAUGCCGCGUGUGUGAAGAAGGCCUUCGGGUUGUAAAGCACUUUCAGUAGGGAGGAAAGGUUGUAAGUUAAUACCUUGCAGCUGUGACGUUACCUACAGAAGAAGGACCGGCUAACUCCGUGCCAGCAGCCGCGGUAAUA